UGUCAGCCAGAGAAACGAGGGAAGUAGCAUGCUAAGAGGAAGAGAAAACCAGGAUAAAACCUCGGAGUUUACCUCUGAAAAGAAAAAAAAAAAACAGUUGGAGCACUUACCCAGUGGAGGUCCGGAGCCAAGUGACUGAACGAAGGAGAGAGUUACGUCGGCUAACCACUUGCCUUUCACCCAGAGAGCCGCAGCAAGGUCCAACAUCGGCGUGCUCCGCCUUGAUACACAGAGAGCAACGGUCAGGUUUUUUGGAGGACUGAAGAGUCUGAGGUUCAGGACAAACUUCCUGCUGUAACAGAUGGUGAGCCAACUACCCUGAAGAAAGAUCAGCACUGAGAAGAUAUCCACGUACUCAUUCACACACACAUAUUAUACAUUUACAUUACACUACAAAGACCUUUGGAAUCAGGUGAACUUGCAAUAAUCCUACAACAGGAAAACCUACAACAACACCUAUUUUACUUAAGGGCCCCAACGGACAUUUUUGGUUUCAAGUGUGCACACUGGGUUUUUCUUAUUGUCUUACUGUUUGGGUUAUUAUUUUGUAUUCUGUACAAAUCAGACAACUUGUUUUAUCCACUGUUAAAAAUUAUACGAGUGGCUACUCAACUAUUACCCCUGCGGUUGCCUCAUUAUUGUUGCUCAGUACAGUGGCUCCUCCCAAAUUUAGUGUCUUCUGAUUCUGGUCCAGGUAUUAUAAAUAGUCCAAGUAAUUAUUACACUGUAAUUCACUUUUAUAUCCCUAAAGUUGGUUACUUGUAUCAAAGAGGUUUUAGUCUAUGUCUAGAAAUUGAAAAUAUCUGAAAAAUAUACAACAGAUGCAUGACCACAGUAUUUGUUAUUUCUUUGCACAAAAUGUUUAGAAUUCAAACCUCAAAUAAAAUUCAUCCACAAUGAAUUCUACAGUCUCAUGCAUCUGUUGUUGAAGUCUAAGAGUCAGAUUUUCUUCUAGUUUCUAUGUCAUAUACAAAAUUGUU
ensembl:lncRNA